rnacentral:rRNA from 1 species
UACGUAGGGUGCGAGCGUUGUCCGGAAUUAUUGGGCGUAAAGAGCUUGUAGGCGGUUUGUCGCGUCUGCUGUGAAAAUCCGGGGCUCAACCCCGGACUUGCAGUGGGUACGGGCAGACUAGAGUGUGGUAGGGGAGACUGGAAUUCCUGGUGUAGCGGUGGAAUGCGCAGAUAUCAGGAGGAACACCAUAGCGAAGGCAGCCCUGCGCUAGGACGUUACUGACGCA